GUGCCAGCAGCCGCGGUAAUGCGUAGGGGGCGAGCGUUGUCCGGAUUUAUUGGGCGUGAAGAGCUCGUAGGCGGUUCAACAAGUCGGUCGUGAAAGUUCAGGGCUCAACCCUGAAAUGUCGAUCGAUACUGUUGUGACUAGGAUACGGUAGAGGUGAGUGGAAUUCCGAGUGUAGCGGUGAAAUGCGUAGAUAUUCGGAGGAACACCAAUUGCGAAGGCAGUUCACUGGACCGUGAUCGACGCUGAGGCACGAAAGCAUAGGUAGCAAACAGGAUUAGAUA
rnacentral:rRNA from 1 species